UACAGAGGUGGCUAGCGUUGUUCGGAAUUACUGGGCGUACAGGGAGCGUAGGCGGUUGGGUAAGCCCUUCGUGAAAUCUCCGGGCCUAACCCGGAAAGUGCGGAGGGGACUGCUCGGCUAGAGGAUGGGAGAGGAGCGCGGAAUUCCCGGUGUAGCGGUGAAAUGCGUAGAGAUCGGGAGGAAGGCCGGUGGCGAAGGCGGCGCUCUGGAACAUUUCUGACACUGAGGCGCGGACAGCGUGGGGAGCAAACAGG
rnacentral:rRNA from 1 species